rnacentral:tRNA from 1 species
GCCCCCGUAGCUCAGGGGAUAGAGCGUCGGUUUCCUAAACCGUGCGUCGCAGGUUCGAAUCCUGCCGGGGGCGC